rnacentral:rRNA from 1 species
AUUGAACGCUGGCGGCAGGCCUAACACAUGCAAGUCGAGCGCGCGGCGGACGGGUGAGCAAUGUCUGGGAAACUGCAUGAUGGAGGGGGAUAACUACUGGAAACGGUAGCUAAUAACGCAUACACUCAGGUGUGCCCAGAUGGGAUUAGCUAGUAGGUGGGGUAACGUCUCACCUAGGCGACGAUCCCUAGCUGGUAUGAGAGGAUGACCAGCCACCAUGGAACUGAGACACGGUCCAGACUCCUACGGGAGGCAGCAGUGGGGAAUAUUGCACAAUGGGCGAAAGCCUGAUGCAGCCAUGCCGCGUGUGUGAAGAAGGCCUUCGGGUUGUAAAGCACGUUCAGCGGGGAGGCGUUACCCGCAGAAGAAGCACCGGCUAACGCCGUGCCAGCAGCCGCGGUAAUUC